UUUCGACGGAUAUAAUAUUCCCUUUCAUCAUCUACACAGGAAGUGCAGCGAACAUCUGGGCAGACAAAUGGCCAA
rnacentral:lncRNA from 1 species